rnacentral:sRNA from 1 species
GCUGGGCAUGGUGGCACAUGCCUGUAGUCCUAGUACUCAGGAGGCUGAGGCAGGAAGAUCAUUUGAACCUGGGAGUUCAAGAUCAGCCUGAGCAACAUCAAGACUCCAUCUCAA